rnacentral:rRNA from 1 species
AGAGUUUGAUCAUGGCUCAGAUUGAACGCUGGCGGCAGGCUUAACACAUGCAAGUCGAGCGGAAACGAUGGAAGCUUGCUUCCAGGCGUCGAGCGGCGGACGGGUGAGUAAUGCUUGGGUAUCUGCCCUGUUGUGGGGGAUAACAGCUGGAAACGGCUGCUAAUACCGCAUAAUAUCUACGGAUCAAAGGAGGCCUCUUCUUGAAAGCUUUCGCGAUAGGAUGAACCCAAGUGGGAUUAGCUUGUUGGUGAGGUAACGGCUCACCAAGGCGACGAUCCCUAGCUGGUCUGAGAGGAUGAUCAGCCACACUGGAACUGAGACACGGUCCAGACUCCUACGGGAGGCAGCAGUGGGGAAUAUUGCACAAUGGGCGAAAGCCUGAUGCAGCCAUGCCGCGUGUGUGAAGAAGGCCUUCGGGUUGUAAAGCACUUUCAGUUGGGAGGAAAGGGUGUUGAUUAAUACUCAACAUCUGUGACGUUACCAACAGAAGAAGCACCGGCUAACUCCGUGCCAGCAGCCGCGGUAAUACGGAGGGUGCGAGCGUUAAUCGGAAUUACUGGGCGUAAAGCGUACGCAGGCGGUUGGUUAAGCGAGAUGUGAAAUCCCCGGGCUCAACCUGGGAACUGCAUUUCGAACUGGCCAACUANAGUAUGAGAGAGGGUGGUAGAAUUUCAGGUGUAGCGGUGAAAUGCGUAGAGAUCUGAAGGAAUACCGAUGGCGAAGGCAGCC